GUUUGCUGUAUGUUGAAAUAUGUCAGUGUAUGUGCAUGCAUUUCUUCUUUAAAUGGUAAGUUUUACUUUACAUAUAUGAAUCUAUUGCUCACUUAUAUGUCUGUUCCCUGUCUAUGAAGUUCAUAGGGAAUCUAGAAGAAGGCAGUCCUCUGGGACUGGAGUUGCAGAUGGUGGUAAGCUACCAUUUGGUCCUCUAGAAGAGCAGCCAGUGCUCUUCCCCACUGAAUGUGUCUCCAGCCCAUGUGUGCUUGUGUGUGUGUGUGUGUGUGUGCUGACCUGACUUAUCUCUGUAGCAGAUUUAAAAAGUGAAUGAUAUUUAGUUUGCAAAAGUCUGACUUUUUAAUAGCCCUAAAAUUAUUAUUUAACAGUUUCAAUUCAUAUACUUUUUGAAGAGUUCUCUGAAAUUCAAUUUUUAUCUAUCUGUAACCUUUAAAGGAUUAUAAAACGCAUAAUCAAAAUAUCAUAUCAUUUUCAUACAUUUGUUUUUGAGACAGGGUUUCUCUGUAUAGCCCUGGCUGUCCUGGAACUCACUUUGUAGACCAGGCUGGCCUCAAACUCAGAAAUCUGCCUGCCUCUGCCUCCUGAGUGCUGGGAUUAAAGGCGUGUGCCACCACACCUGGCUUUUUCCUACAUUCUUUUGAUCUGCUGCUAGAUAAGGUUUAAUAAACAAAUGAGCAGUGGCUGAGAGCAGCCUGCAUAGCUUACUACUUGUAGCUUUGGCCACUCAUUGGGCAGUCCUUUCCUGUCCCAGAUAGCCUGAUUAGGAUAUUUGCUUGUGCUGAUGGUUGUAUUAGCCCAAGAGGCUGAAGGUCUGCCUUUCUCUUCCUUUCUUUGUAAAUUCAGCACCUUUCUAUGAGGUUUUCCUGCUGAAAAGUUAGGCUUCAUGUUUUUGGCCUCCCAAAUAGAUAUUGAAACAGGAGGUGGCAAGUGGAAACCAUCAUGGGUCAUCACUUCCUCUUGUCUGUCCCCAAGACUGGAUAAACCUUUUCUGCUUGUUUCUAUUUAGAGUCUGUUGUUUGGCUUUUUAAAAUGAUUCUUGUCAUUGCUGUUUUGCUUUUGUUUAUUUAAGCAAUCACAGGGCCUUCUAAAAUUUGUUCAGAAAACUUAUCAACGAACUUUUGAUAAUUUUGCUCUGGAACAUGGUAGAGGACCUGCAUGGCAUGUGCUGACACAUCAGUUUGUAGCUAUUCAUCGAUAGAAACGAACUCUUCCACCUUAGAUGGCAAGGAAGUUCAAAGAAAAACCUCUGCUUGCUCUAAAGCAGAUCACUUUCCUUUCAUUCUAAUGUACCUUAGAUUUUAUAGGAGGCUUAACAGCAGGAAAUGGUUAGAAUGCAACACAGGAGUACAGAGCUCGCUUAGCACUCUCAAGAUCUGGGUUCAGUCUCCAGCAACCAACCAGAAAAAGAACGAACAACCAACAAUAGUAUCCACUUAGUUAAGGCAAUGUAUGUUCUGCAGUGUAUUAAAUAGCAACCACACUAUGAAAAUAAAAAGUCAAAACAUAAAAUCAUAUGAAUAUGAUUGGAGGGAAUAGUGUCACUUCACUGUAAGAAUUGGAUAAUCUUAAAUAUAGUUUAGCACAUUGCUAUUUAUAAUCUAAAUACGUAAAAGUUCAGACCUACAGAACCACUUUACCUGCUGCAACCAAAUGACAUCAUCUCUGAUACUUUAGUGCUACAAACCUUUUUUUCAGACUCAGCAGUUUAUGGACGUUUGUCUAAGAAUUAGUCAAUAUAUUAGCUUCCUUUAAAAUAUAUGGCCAGAGCAACAAGGCACGUGCGAUUCAUUUGGCCUUGCGAAUUUGCUGUGAGACCCAGGAGUUAUGGAUUUUUGAGAUAUUUGGCUGAAAUUCAAAAUGAAAAAUCAUUUCAAAAAAAUAGCAAAGCAUUUCAUUCUUUAAAGGUGCUACAAUUACAUAAUAGAAAAUGUCAUGGUUUGGCUGUAAUAACAAAAUUCUUAGAAUCAAUCAGUCAAAAAAUGCCUGUGUUAUUUAGCAUAGUUUAAGGGCAUAUGGACUUAAAACAGUUGAUAUAAUAGCUUUAAUUGCUGGUUUCCACAUGCACUGAUAGCUAUUUGCCUUGUAAAAUUAAUUGAAUGAACACUGAAUAAAUUACCACAGAGAAAAAAGUUGCUUUUUUGCAUAGCAGUAAUAUCCACUCAAUAGCAUUCUCCUACUCUGUCUGGAGUAGAAGAAAGUAUUUUAACAGUCCAAAGAGCCUUCUUUAUCAUUAUUUUCACUUUUCCAUUUAUAAAAAAGCAAAUUAGGGCUGGAGAUAUAGCUCAGUGGUUAAGAGCACUGGCUGUACUUCCAUAGGUCCUGAGUUCAAUUCCCAGCACACACAUGCUCACAACCAGAUGUAAUGAGAUCUGAUGCCCUCUUCUAGUGUGUCUGAAGACAGCGACAGUGUACUCAAAUACAUCAAUUAAUCAAUCAAAAACAAACAAACAAAGAAACAGAGAGACAUGAACAAAAAACAAAACAACAACAAACCAAACAACAGUAACAACAACAACAACAAGAAUCAAGCCAUAAAACAAAAUUCAUAUCACCAUCCUAGUUUCCUGAUAUAUUUUAUAUCCUUACUUGGCCAGAAUAUAGUACUGAAGAAAAGGUAAUAUAGGAACUUGACAUGAUUAAUUGGAUUUUUAUUUCUUUAACUAUACUCAAAUACAUUCAUGAUGAGCCUACUGUGUGUACAAUAUUUUUGUGAAGUGGAGAUAAAAACAAAUAGCUUUUGCCUUAAGUAAUGCAAAACC
rnacentral:lncRNA from 1 species